rnacentral:rRNA from 1 species
UACGUAGGGUGCGAGCGUUAAUCGGAAUUACUGGGCGUAAAGCGUGCGCAGGCGGUUGUGCAAGACAGAUGUGAAAUCCCCGGGCUCAACCUGGGAACUGCAUUUGUGACUGCACGACUGGAGUGCGGCAGAGGGGGAUGGAAUUCCGCGUGUAGCAGUGAAAUGCGUAGAUAUGCGGAGGAACACCGAUGGCGAAGGCAAUCCCCUGGGCCUGCACUGACGCUCAUGCACGAAAGCGUGGGGAGCAAACAGGAUUAGAUACCCUGGUAGUCCACGCCCUAAACGAUGUCAACUGGUUGUUGGGAGGGUUUCUUCUCAGUAACGUAGCUAACGCGUGAAGUUGACCGCCUGGGGAGUACGGCCGCAAGGUUGAA